rnacentral:rRNA from 1 species
AGAGUUUGAUCCUGGCUCAGGAUAAACGCUUGCGGCGUGCAUCAAACAUGCAAGUCGAACGCUCAGUCUUCGGACUGGGAGUGGCAGACGGCUGAGGAACACGUCGGUAACCUAUCGUGGUGUGGGGAAUAUACCGCCGAAAGGUGGGGCAAUACCGCAUGUGCUCGGGCAACCGAGGAAAGCUCGCAAGGGCGCACGACGAGGGGCCGGCGGGCGAUUAGCUAGUUGGUGAGGUAAAAGCUUACCAAGGCAAUGAUCGCUAGCGGGUCUGAGAGGAUGACCCGCCAGACUGGGACGGAGGAACGGCCCAGACACCUACGGGUGGCAGCAGUUGGGAAUUUUGCGCAAUGGCCGAAAGGCUGACGCAGCAACGCCGCGUGGAGGACGACGCCUUUCGGGGUGUAAACUCCUUUUCUCCGGGACGAUAAUGACGGUACCGGGGGAAGAAGCCUCGGCUAACUACGUGCCAGCAGCCGCGGUAAUACGUAGGAGGCAAGCGUUGUCCGGAUUUAUUGGGCGUAAAGCGUGCGCAGGUGGUGCAGGAAGUGAUGUGUGAAAGCUCUUGGCUUAACUGAGAGAGGCCAUGUCAAACUCCUGGACUUGAGGGUCGGAGAAGCAGACGGAAUUCCGGGUGGAGUAGUAAUAUGCGUAGAGAUCCGGAGGAACACCAGUGGCGUAAGCGGUCUGCUAGACGAUGCCUGACGCUGAGGCACGAAAGCGUGGGGAGCGAACCGGAUUAGAUACCCCGGUAGUCC